rnacentral:rRNA from 1 species
GGUGAGUAACACGUGGAGAACCUACCUUUCAGCGGGGGAUAACCAUUGGAAACGAUGACUAAUACCGCAUAGGACAUCUGGUCACAUGACCGGGUGAGGAAAGACGGCUUCGGCUGUCACUGAAAGAUGGCUCCGCGGAGCAUUAGCUAGAUGGUAAGGUAACGGCUUACCAUGGCCAUGAUGCAUCGCCGACCUGAGAGGGUGAUCGGCCACACUGGGACUGAGACACGGCCCAGACUCCUACGGGAGGCAGCAGUAGGGAAUCUUCCGCAAUGGACGCAAGUCUGACGGAGCAACGCCGCGUGUGUGAAGAAGGUCUUCGGAUCGUAAAGCACUGUUGUUAGAGAAGAACACCCGGUAGAGUAACUGCUACCGGCUUGACGGUAUCUAACCAGAAAGCCACGGCUAACUACGUGCCAGCAGCCGCGGUAAUACGUACGUGGCAAGCGUUGUCCGGAUUUAUUGGGCGUAAAGGGAGCGCAGGUGGUGAUUUAAGUCUGAUGUGAAAGCCCACGGCUCANCCGUGGAGGGUCAUUGGAAACUGGGUCACUUGAGUACAGAAGAGGAAAGUGGAAUUCCAUGUGUAGCGGUGAAAUGCGUAGAUAUAUGGAGGAACACCAGUGGCGAAGGCGACUUUCUGGUCUGUUACUGACACUGAGGCUCGAAAGCGUGGGGAGCAAACAGGAUUANAUACCCUGGUAGUCCACGCC